CAUGAAUGGCACAUGAUGAUAAGCAGCGGUGGGAUGUAAAUAAGUACAUUUACUUUCGUACCAUUUUGAGCUUAGGACCAGUUUCACAUCAUGGAGAUGGUUUUAAAGGAUGUUAAACGAUUGCUGUAGAUAGUGAAUAGAAUCUGCGCAUGGAUAAAGGACAGUGUCAUCUGCGUAAAGAUGGAAGUAAUAAUUGUUCAAUAAACAGGUGAACAAAAUGUCCUGCAGGCUCAAAUCAUCCAGCGUCUUCCAUGUCCUCUGCAGUGGAGCGAUCACUGACGCACGGGCCAAGAAAAACAGAAAGGCCCACUCCCCACUGCUGCUUCAGAUGUGCUAAUCCAUGCUCUUCAUCACUUCUGCAAACAGAAUUCCACCUUUUUAUAUGGGACACGCAGUUUGUUUUGCUUUGGUCCAGUCUCAGAAGGGACAGACAUGAGGCCCAGAGAUGGAGAAAUGCUAGCUCAGCACUGGUCAUGACAUCAGACGAGUCUAACGGGCUACAAAAACAUGAUUUUUUUCUUUAGUUUAUUGGAUCUGUUUGGAAAUACAAACCAGUAACAGCAACUUGUGUUUAGGUCUAAGGCCAAGAUGGUUAACAGUUUAAGUUCUCAGGUGUACAACAAC